CCUACGGGAGGCAGCAGUGGGGAAUAUUGGACAAUGGGCGCAAGCCUGACCCAGCCACGCCGCGUGCAGGAAGAAGGCUUUCGGGUUGUAAACUUCUUUUAAGAGGGAAGAGCAGAAGACGGUACCUCUUGAAUAAGCUACGGCUAACUACGGGCCAGCCGCCGCGGUAAUACGUAGGUGGCAAGCGUUGUCCGGAUGUAAUGGGUGUAAAGGAAGUGUAGCCGGGCUGACAAGUCAGAUGUGAAAUCCCGGGGCUCAACCACGGAACUGCAUUUGAAACUGUCGGGCUUGAGUCUCGGAGAGGCAGGCGGAAUUCCUAGUGUAGCGGUGAAAUGCGUAGAGAUUAGGAGGAACACCAGUGGCGAAGGCGGCCUGCUGGACGACAACUGACGGUGAGGCGCGAAAGCGUGGGGAGCAAACAGGAUUAGAUACCCCUGUAGUC
rnacentral:rRNA from 1 species